GUGAGCUGAGUUGGGGAAACAGCCUUAAUUGUAGGUAUUAGUUGCCUGGAUGGAGUGCCUGCCUGCUCCAGGGCCAGCCUGAACCAUCUUCGCGCGUUAUCCAGCUUGAUUAUGACCUCGGCUCCAUGAUUGAGGUCACGGUACUCUCCCUGUCUCAUGGACAAUGAGGCACUGACCUCAGAAUGUGGAGGUUCGUGGCCCGUGGUUGGGGUUGGGGUCAGAGCAGGAGAUCCCAUGGGAAGGUCUGGCCCCUCUGGGCUUCUGUGUUCCUAAUUGUCCCCGCAUCAGAAGCUGUGCUAUUGGAAGAGGAGGAGAGGCUCCCAUAUGGGAGUCUAGACUCACCCGGAGUCCAACAGCUUGAGUUUGGACCAUGAGAAGACAGAAAGCACCGUCUGUCAAGGUUUCACUGGACCACGUGCUGUGUUGAGGAAGGAGAACCACGUUCUGACCCCACGUGGACUUUCCCCUCACCCUCUCUGCCUUUGCUUCCUCAUCGGGGAAUGGGGCAUCAAGCUGGAACAUCCCCAAGGUUUGCUCGCUUCUGACAUUCGGUGAUUUCAUGACUUUGCUUUUGUGGAAUAAGCCAGGGUUAUAACCUCAGUUUCCCGUCUUGUUGAUAAUUAUGUUGUCUGGGAAGGGAAUGUGUUGUGUUUCUUAAAAGCUGAUGGCAAAAUGGACAAUAUUUCCACUGUUGCUUCUUGGUCAAAACAACGAUGCUAGCGACCACCAGUAGACAUCUGCCACCUCCCCGUCCCGGGACAGCCAGCACGUCCUUAACUCCCUUUGGUGGAAAAGGUGAACCAUCUGUUAGGUGACGUGGAAAUGCACGAGGAGUCCACGUGGUCCCAAAUGCCUCAUCCCCCUCGUUUAAAAGCUUGGCAACGUGUUCCACCCAGAGGAGCUGUGACGCAUGCCAGACACGCCCAGGACUCUCUCCCGCACACACACCAGCCCUGUCUCCUCCGGGGUCUCCUCAGACUCUGAGCAGGGGAAGCUGUUCAGAUCCCCUCCCUCAAAACAGGAUUUUCUGUCCCCACACCACACUGCCUUGGUGUCUCUCCAGUUUCAAGUGCCAGAAGUGCUGCCUCCACAGGCGGGCACCCAUCCAGCUCUCUCCUUGUUAAAUGAUUGUACAAACUGUUCAGAGAGACUGUGCUCAUUUUUCUUAUUCCUUUGCUUUUGGGUUUGGAGGGGAAAACAAAGGGAAGAGAGGACGGAUAGUGCCAGGAAACUUUUUUUCUACAGUCCCUGGAGUUCUCAAUCACACGGUUACUGCCAAUAUUUUCCUACCACUCAGUUCCUUGUCCCUCAAAACCUGGGGUCAUCAUCUUGGGUCAACCACCUUGCUUAAGCGUACAGGAUGCUGGAUGGGCAGAGCCUGCAGACGGGGGUCAUUUCACAGACAGGAACUAAGGCAAGUAGAAAAUUCUGCAGUUAAACGAGAAUCGUGCAAAUAAAGCCAAGACUGUUUUUCCCAUUAGUGGAGAACUUGCUUUGUGGGCUUCCAGUGCAUGAAAAAGUAGAAUGAUCAAAACUGUAAAAUCUCCUUAGUGCAUGUUUGAGCAGAAGGAGUAGGGGGGGGGAGGAGGAAUGUCUGGUGGAGAAGGAGCUGAGGGCCCUGAGCGCUUCUUCCCGGUAAAGGGACGUACAAUUGAAGCAGGGAAAGGAGUCCUGGGGCGGGUGCCUUCUGCCUGCAUCCCCUGUAGAGGGUAAGUAGAGGCAGGAGCACUCUGGUGUCCUGGGUGCCAGACCAGCCCAGGGUGGGAAAUGGACCUGUGUGGGAAGUGCCACUUGUGACCAUGGUCUCAGCAGUUUCUCUCUUAAACAGAGAGAUUAAGGAAUUGUAGGUCGGAAGUAUAAUCGGGAGAAAUGAAAAAAUGACUAAUAAAGGGAGUUGAAAGAAAAGCUCCUUGUUUUAGAGAUUCCACAGACUGAAUUGAACCACGGAAGUUAGGAGUGCUUGUGUCCGAGCAGAACUUCCUCGAGGGCAGACGAGAGCCUGCCUGGGACACACCACAUGGAGCCCGCGCUCAGUCCCAGAUCCCCGCCUCUCACGUCCUCAUGCCCUGCAAGGCUGAGCAAUUUGUUAUAUGCCACGUGCAUCUUGACCACAUUAUUAAAAGCCACAGCUGGAAAUGUCGCCAUGCUUGUCCACCGUGGUCCGGGGAGGGGGCAGCAGGGUCAUUUCCUACAGCUCCUGCAGGUUAGGCUGCCCAAGACCGUGGUCGCCAGCGGUUUAGCCACUUGGCCACAUGGCCCCUUUGUCUCCCCUUGGGAAGCUGUCGACACCUGAGAGUGGGGUGUGUAGUGCGGCUCCUGUUUGCAUCUUGCUGCUGUUGUCUGCUUCUGUCGUCAGAGAGGAAGACUGUUGCUGUGGCCCCCUUUUGGCGCACGUCUAGGCGCAAUUUCUUGUGGAAACCUUAACUAGCGGUUUUAUGUGCCGUUAGCCUGCAGGCGUCCAGCCCUGGGCCUGGACCUUGCUCUUUCUCUUUCCACACUGAGCCUGCUUUCUCUUUAGCCAAGCUUUCCAGAGGCCAGGGGAGUUCACACUGAAAUUCAUUCAGGAGCCUGUUAACAGCCGUUGUUUCCAGUAGGGACGGGCAACAAUAUAAUGUUCACUCAAAGAGAGCAAUAAAUAACUCAGAUACAAAGCGCCUGCUCGUUCUUCAUUCCACCGAACAAGAAGAAUAAGCCCAGGGAAGCUGGCUCUCCCCGAACCCUCACAGCCCAAGCUAAUUUACUGCAAGGGAAUGAAAUCUCUUGCUUGAGUUAUAAUUUCAUUAAGGCAGCCCAAUAAUGUUACACAGGGAGUGUAGAGCUCACAUGAUUUAGUCUGGAGCAUCGCAAAAUGAAAUUACAAUUUUGUAAUAAAGCAGGGCUACCGGCCAAACACCCACAAAAAUACACUAAACCAUUGCAGAGCUCACCUUAGCGAAACUGUGAAAUAUUUAAAGAUUGUUUUAGGUCCACCAAAGCUCUCGCUUUCUAGGGUUGCCAGAAUUAUCAAGUGAAAACACAAGACAACUACUUAAAACUGAGUCUCAGAUAAACCACAGAUACUUUUUUAGUAUACAUACAUUUGUAAUAUUGUGUGGAACAUA